GACGAACGCUGGCGGCGUGCCUAAUACAUGCAAGUUGAGCGCUGAAGGUUGGUACUUGUACCAACUGGAUGAGCAGCGAACGGGUGAGUAACGCGUGGGGAAUCUGCCUUUGAGCGGGGGACAACAUUUGGAAACGAAUGCUAAUACCGCAUAAAAACUUUAAACACAAGUUUUAAGUUUGAAAGAUGCAAUUGCAUCACUCAAAGAUGAUCCCGCGUUGUAUUAGCUAGUUGGUGAGGUAAAGGCUCACCAAGGCGAUGAUACAUAGCCGACCUGAGAGGGUGAUCGGCCACAUUGGGACUGAGACACGGCCCAAACUCCUACGGGAGGCAGCAGUAGGGAAUCUUCGGCAAUGGACGAAAGUCUGACCGAGCAACGCCGCGUGAGGGAAGAAGGAUGUCGGAUCGUAAAACUCUGUUGGUAGAGAAGAACGUUGGUGAGAGUGGAAAGCUCAUCAAGUGACGGUAACUACCCAGAAAGGGACGGCUAACUACGUG
rnacentral:rRNA from 1 species